rnacentral:misc_RNA from 1 species
GAUGAAGAACGCAGCGAAAUGCGAUAAGUAAUGUGAAUUGCAGAAUUCAGUGAAUCAUCGAAUCUUUGAACGCACAUUGCGCCCCCUGGUAUUCCGGGGGGCAUGCCUGUCCGAGCGUCAUUACAACCCUCAAGCUCAGCUUGGUGUUGGGCCCCGCCGCCCCGGCGGGCCCUAAAGUCAGUGGCGGUGCCGUCCGGCUCCGAGCGUAGUAAUUCUUCUCGCUCUGGAGGUCCGGUCGUGUGCUCGCCAGCAACCCCCAAUUUUUUUCAGGUUGACCUCGGAUCAGGUAGGGAUACCCGCUGAACUUAAGCAUAUCAUAAGCGGAGGA